rnacentral:rRNA from 1 species
UACGAAGGGGGCUAGCGUUGCUCGGAAUCACUGGGCGUAAAGGGUGCGUAGGCGGGUUUUAAGUCAGGGGUGAAAUCCUGGAGCUCAACUCCAGAACUGCCUUUGAUACUGAAGAUCUUGAGUCCGGGAGAGGUGAGUGGAACUGCGAGUGUAGAGGUGAAAUUCGUAGAUAUUCGCAAGAACACCAGUGGCGAAGGCGGCUCACUGGCCCGGUACUGACGCUGAGGCACGAAAGCGUGGGGAGCAAGCAGG